rnacentral:tRNA from 1 species
UCCCUGGUGGCUCACAGGUUAAAGCGUCUGCCUGCAAUGCAGGAGAUCUGGGUUCGAUCUCUGGGUCGGGAA